rnacentral:tRNA from 1 species
GGAGGGUGCGGCCGGCUCGGUGGCGGUGGGCGGCUCGGCCUCGGCGGCAGGCUCCGCGGCGGCGGCCGGUGCCGCGCUCUGCUUCCGGGCCCUCCU